UGUUCUGCUGUGCUUUAUUCUAGCAGACUUGGAUGAAACAAAGGAGCUUUCUUGGGCAGAGAAGGGGAUGUCAGUAAAAGAAGUGAAUUUGUUCUAAGUGCAUUUUCAGUUCACGCUGGUUUUCUUUCAGUGUAAAACAUCUAAAAAGUUUUCCAUGAGAAAAUUAUUUUUGUGAUAACUGAACUUUCCUAACUCAGAAGGUUUAUGUAGUAUUCCUAUGUUAAGGAUUAUGAAGUACUUACAAAUAAGAUGUUUCAGUAGUUAGACAAAAUUAUAAUCAAUGUCAGAUUCUAAGGCCCAACAGCUCAGAGGCACUCUUACAUGUUAUGUUAGACAGGUUCAAUGAAUACAAAAAACAGUGGAGCAUGGUUUUUAGUGAUUCCCUGCUAAAAAGCUGUAUGCGAAAAGGUACCUUCUUACUCAGCAGUUAAGAUGCUUAGGUGCAUUCUGACCUUCUGGCUUGGCGGGCUGAGAUGAUUUUUACUGCUUUCCUUGCCUGUUAACCCUGCAGAAUUAAAAGAAUAGCUGUAAGAGAGGAAGCUGGAUAUUGCUUCUUUCUGUACCGAAUUGACAAAAUUGUAUUCUAAGUUUCAGAUAGUCAUAGUGAAAAAAACACGGGAUCAAUUAGUAACUGUCCUUAAAGGAAACCCCUGGGUUCUGCUUCAGAGUUUGGGUCUUCAUAUUAGGCAAUGGUGCCAGGAGAGAAAAGCUGUGGUCACAUCCCAGGGCUGACAGCAAGGAAAGCUCUGCCUUCCUUAAGUGAGGAUAGAAGUUGCCGUGAGACGUUCCUGGAAAUGAAAGAGAAGGAGGAAAAGGAUCUUUGAGCAUUAGCUGGUCACACACAAUGAACUGCUAAAAGGUAAAUGGGAUCCAGGAAAGUAUCAAGAGCAUUUUCUAUUUUAAAAAUCUUGUAUAGAAUAUUGUUAGGAAUUCUGAUCAUUCAUUCUCAGUAAUAAUUAGUUCAAAGUGAAACAGAUGUAAGAAUGGCCUCUAGGACUUUCUAGAGAAUGAAGACACUAUCACCAGAACUUUGGUCUUAAAAGCUUUGCCUAGGAAAACGGAGACUGAGAGGGGAUCUGGCCAGAAACACACCUGGUGGUAAGCAACAGGUGCUCUUCGGUUGCCACCAGAUGGCAACAGAAAUCCGUCUGAGCGCGGCAGGAUUCUGCAGCGACUGCUCAAUUCCUACUGCUUCCCUGCCUGGCAGGUUUGCAGGGGCGUCUGCACAGCCUGCCUACCAAAAAGGAA